CGCGUAGGCGGUUUGGUAAGUCGGAUGUGAAAAUCCGGGCUCAACCCCGGACCUGCAUCCGAUACUGCCCGACUAGAGGUAGGUAGGGGAGAUCGGAAUUCCUGGUGUAGCGGUGAAAUGCGCAGAUAUCAGGAGGAACACCGGUGGCGAAGGCGGAUCUCUGGGCCUUACCUGACGCUGAGGCGCGAAAGCUAGGGGAGCGAACA
rnacentral:rRNA from 1 species